GUCCACGCCCUAAACGAUGAUUACUAGAUGUGUGCAAUAUACCGUACGCGUCACAGCUAAAGCGUUAAGUAAUCCACCUGGGGAGUACGGUCGCAAGACUGAAACUCAAAGGAAUUGACGGGGGCCCGCACAAGCGGAGGAGCAUGUGGUUUAAUUCGAUGAUACGCGAGGAACCUUACCAGGGCUUGAAAGUUAGUGAAUGAUUUAGAAAUAGGUCAGCAAGCAAUUGCACGAAACUAGGUGCUGCAUGGCCGUCGU
rnacentral:rRNA from 1 species